rnacentral:lncRNA from 1 species
GGCAAUCUUGUUCAAUAUGUGUGCAGGAAGUUCUGGGGUAACAAUAUAAUGUAAAUUUCUCCUAUGGGACAAGCUAUGCAUAGGUAUGUAUGCUUCACAAGGAAUUACCCAUACAAUGUCUAAACUACUCCCAAAUAUGCCAAAACAAUACUACUUUGCAUUAAUGUCCUUGAAUAAACAUAUAUAUCCAUUGAACAAAGAUCUGCCCAUGGAUCUAGAUUUAGAAAAUGGAAAUCAUCAAGACUAAAAUUAAGGUAGUACAAGAUAAUCCAGAUCGUGAUGCUGAAGUGUCUGAACUUUGAGAGCUUUCUGUUGGUUCCACGGCAGGACUUGUGGCAGAAACCACACCAGGAGUUAGGGAAGGUGUCCCCAAGGAUUGGUUUGCAGCUGAAGCUGGCUCUGGUGCUGCAGUUGUUGGAGCAUUGGAGCGAGGGCAGGCUGCUCCUCUUCCUCUUCGUGUCGCUGUCGGCCUUAAGACUCCAUUUAUACCAUGGCACCUGAACGAAUCCCCUCCACGAC